GAUGAACGCUGGCGGCGUGCCUAAUACAUGCAAGUCGAGCGAACAGACGAGGAGCUUGCUCCUCUGACGUUAGCGGCGGACGGGUGAGUCACACGUGGAUAACCUACCUAUAAGACUGGGAUAACUUCGGGAAACCGGAGCUAAUACCGGAUAAUCUAUUGAACCGCAUGGUUCAAUAGUGAAAGACGGUUUUGCUGUCACUUAUAGAUGGAUCCGCGCCGCAUUAGCUAGUUGGUAAGGUAACGGCUUACCAAGGCAACGAUGCGUAGCCGACCUGAGAAGGUGAUCGGCCACACUGGAGCUGAGACACGGUCCAGACUCCUACGGGAGGCAGCAGUAGGGAAUCUUCCGCAAUGGGCGAAAGCCUGACGGAGCAACGCCGCGUGAGUGAUGAAGGUCUUCGGAUCGUAAAACUCUGUUAUUAGGGAAGAACAAAUGUGUAAGUAACUAUGCACGUCUUGACGGUACCUAAUCAGAAAGCCACGGCUAACUACGUG
rnacentral:rRNA from 1 species